UAUUGGCUUAGCUUAAUGACGUGGGUGCUGGAGUUGAUUUCUAGCCUCACACCUGGCAUAUCUCGAUUUUGGAGGAUAAAGAUACACGUGGUAAGGUCGUUUGCUUGCUUUAGUAUUAAACUUUGAUAUCGAGCCGACGCCCUCUAAGGCCGAGUCGAUCAAGAUUCUCUUGGUUCUGCUCCCAUUCUUUGAUCGAACCGACCUAAACCUACUCGAUCCAGCCUUAUAUUUCGACAUACUCAACGACAGCACGCCGCGAUCCACGGCAACCUUGCCUUGGGAUGAUAAGGUCGUCUGCUUGCCUUGGUAUUAAACCUUGAUACUGAGCUGACGCCCUUUAGGAUCGAGCUGAUCAAGAUUCUCUUGGUUUUGUUCCCAUUCUUUGAUCGAACUGACCUGGACCUACUCGACUCGGUCUAAUUCCGACAGACUCCACGACAGCACGUCGCAAUUCACGGCAACCUUAAAGAGUCGUUAAGGUCCUAUUGAAAACCUUGUCGGAGACCCUGCCUAUAUACAAAAGUCAUUUGCUCCAAUUUCAAGUACGUGAAUACAAUAUUCCUCUGUAGAUAUUGCUCGAGUUCUUCUUAACUUGGAUGUCGGAGUGUUUUCUGUCUUGCAGGUCUCCUGUUCGGUUCUCUCCAACUCGUCCUCCAGGUCAUCUUUCGGUUCGAGCCGAGGUUCGCAGGCUUGGUCAUUUUUGUGAUCAAACAGCUGGUAUCUUCGACCAAAAUGUCUAAGUGGAAUCAGAGCCUGUCACGUAGUCCUCCCACUCGAAAACAUGUGUUAGUGACAUGACUCAAAUAAGUUGAGGACGAGACGAGUCAGGUGAAGUCACCUUUGAUCGAUCCUGCGAAAGCUCAGCUCAACUCUGACUUGAAACCACAUAUGACAUCAACAUGAAACAUCGAAACGGCAGAACAGCCAUCAAAUCGACUUAAUUUAACAUUCACCUCAAAUCAGUAGCUGAUCCUUCGUGUCUUUCGCAAUCCUAUAUAACAAUUUCAGUUAUAAGUUAUUUAAAAUACUUCGUACAAAUUUCAUAAACCUUUAAUAAUGAAGUACAAUGGAGGAUGCUUUCUCAAGCUUAUCCAUAAUAAUUUUUUUAAUAAACCGAAAGAAAAAAGAAAACAUUGUAUUUUGUCUUGUAGUGAAUUGGAAUAUGCAAAGAUAUGGUUCCUUGAAUCGCAAAUUCAGGAGAUCAGAGAGAACCUGACCAUUGAAAUUAUCCAAUUCCAAUACAAAAAUUAGGGAUUUUUCACCUUAAUGUAAUAUAAUAAUGUCUUAUUAUUCCCUAUUUU